rnacentral:rRNA from 1 species
GGAAUCUGCCUGGUAGUGGGGGACGAACGUUUCGAAAGGAACGCUAAUACCGCAUACGUCCUACGGGAGAAAGCAGGGGACCUUCGGGCCUUGCGCUAUCAGAUGAGCCUAGGUCGGAUUAGCUAGUUGGUGAGGUAAUGGCUCACCAAGGCGACGAUCCGUAACUGGUCUGAGAGGAUGAUCAGUCACACUGGAACUGAGACACGGUCCAGACUCCUACGGGAGGCAGCAGGC